rnacentral:lncRNA from 1 species
GCCCAUUUGCUGGAGACACGGGGAAGGGUUAACACUAUAUCGGGGGAGUCUCCUGCCAAGGCACGUCGACUAGGAGCUCCCCCGGGUCACCGCUCAGGGGCGUGCCUUUGGCCCACACCUCCAUAGGCUUCGGACAGGGCCACGCCCCCCGGAGUCCUUUAACGGACCACCCUUCGCUCACUGGGGUGAGGUGAUGGCCUUCCUCCCCCCCCACACAUCCUCUUAACCCCUUCUUACAAAUGCCUACCGCCAAUGCCGAAGAGUUGUGACGAGUUGCUACGAGGUAGGCGAAAAACCAAAUGGCUGUAAAUUGCCAAUUGGGAAAAAUUCCUACCAUGCCCCAUGUGGCGACAGACCGAAGUCCAUAGCAAAGUCAGAGACCUACCUAAAGCCCACCUAAAGGGAGGGAGGGUGGGAAAACGUGGGGGCUAGCCGGCGAAAAGAGGGCGAGCCCCCUCCGUGCCGGCCCUAAAUAGGGCAGACCCCCUGCUCUCGCGGGGGCUGAAACCAGCCCCCGCUCACGUGGGGGGUGGGCGUGAAGCCCGCAACCCCACCUCCUGGGCAGGCCGGAAGUGGCUUUGCGUGGCGAGUUCCCGCCCCCCACCAGGAUAAAUAAAGACACGAGACACCAUAGCUUAAGGUUAAAUGGGCGAAUUAGGCCACAACUUUAUUGAAUUCAGGAAUGAGAGGCAUUGGCUUAGGCAUUGGUCCUAACGACUAUCCGGCUCCAGCCCAUUUGCUGGAGACACGGGGAAGGGUUAACACUAUAUCGGGGGAGUCUCCUGCCAAGGCACGUCGACUAGGAGCUCCCCGGGUCACCGCUCUGGGGCAUGCCUUUGGCCCACACCUCCAUAGGCUUCGGACAGGGCCACGCCCCCGGAGUCCUUUAACGGACCACCCUUCGCUCACUGGGGGGAGGUGAUGGCGUUCCUCCCCCCCCCCACAUCCUCUUAACCCCUUCUUACAAAUGCCUACGAAAAGAGGGCGAGCCCCCUCCGUGCUGGCCCUAAAUAGGGCAGACCCCCUGCUCUCGCGGGGGCUGAAACCAGCCCCCGCUCACGUGGGGGGUGGGCGUGAAGCCCGCAACCCCACCUCCUGGGCAGGCCGGAAGUGGCUUUGC